rfam:Triticum aestivum genome assembly, contig: Triticum_aestivum_CS42_TGACv1_scaffold_433480_5DL
CAUUUACUCCCUCCGUCCGGAGAAGCUUGUCCCUCGAAUGGAUGUAUCUAGCACCAAGUUAGUGCCAGAUACAUCCAUUUGAGGGACAAUCUUGGGACAAGGUUUUUCGGAUGGAGGGAGUGUUUU